UACGGAGGGGCUAGCGUUGUUCGGAAUUACUGGGCGUAAAGCGCACGUAGGCGGCUUGUAAGUUAGAGGUGAAAGCCCAGGGCUUAACCCUGGAAUUGCCUUUAAGACUGCAUCGCUAGAAUCGUGGAGAGGUGAGUGGAAUUCCGGAGUGUAGAGGUGAAAAUUCGUAGAUAGUUCGGAAGAACACCAAGUGGCGAGGCGGACUCACUGGACACGGUAUU
rnacentral:rRNA from 1 species